AUAGCGUCGUAUAGUGGGUAACUAAAACGGCCAGCAGCCGCGGUAAUUCCAGCUCCAAUAGCGUAUAUUAAAGUUGUUGCAGUUAAAAAGCUCGUAGUUGAACCUUGGGCCUGGCUGGCCGGUCCGCCUCACCGCGUGCACUGGUUCGGCCGGGCCUUUCCCUCUGGGGAACCCCAUGCCCUUCACUGGGUGUGGCGGGGAACCAGGACUUUUACUGUGAAAAAAUUAGAGUGUUCAAAGCAGGCCUAUGCUCGAAUACAUCAGCAUGGAAUAAUAGAAUAGGACGUGCGGUUCUAUUUUGUUGGUUUCUAGGACCGCCGUAAUGAUUAAUAGGGACAGUCGGGGGCAUCAGUAUUCAAUUGUCAGAGGUGAAAUUCUUGGAUUUAUUGAAGACUAACUACUGCGAAAGCAUUUGCCAAGGAUGUUUUCAUUAAUCAGGAACGAAAGUUAGGGGAUCGAAGACGAUUUAAUCACUGUAUUUGGUCGUCCAAAGUGCAAGCUAGUCCGCCGCGGGGCAACCCGCGGGGGGCGACACCGUCAAAUUGCGGGGACCUCCUUAGAGCCCUCACCACACCUCGCGGCUAGAAAUAGCGGCGAGUCGUAAUAGUGUGAGGGAUUGGACAAUCCGCAGCCAAGUCCGUACGGCGCCUCGGGGCGCCAGGAUGCAGUUCACAGACUAAAUGUCGGUGGGAGCGCUCCGCUGUAGCGCCCUUAAAAUAUAGUCGAGCCGCCGCUGAAAAGCCGCG
rnacentral:rRNA from 1 species